rnacentral:rRNA from 1 species
CAAUAGCGUAUAUUAAAGUUGUUGCAGUUAAAAAGCUCGUAGUUGGAUUUCGGGGCAGCCUGGCUGGUCCGCCGCAAGGCGAGUACUGGUCAGCCGCCCUUCCUCUCGAAAGCCCCGACUGCUCUUCGUUGCAGUGGUCGGGUAGUUCGGGACGUUUACUUUGAAAAAAUUAGAGUGUUCAGGGCAGGCCUACGCCUGAAUACAUUAGCAUGGAAUAAUGGAAGAGGACCUCGGUCCUAUUUUGUUGGUUUCCAGGGCCGAAGUAAUGAUUAAGAGGGACAGUUGGGGGCAUUCGUAUUUAAUUGUCAGAGGUGAAAUUCUCGGAUUUAUGAAAGACGAACAACUGCGAAAGCAUUUGCCAAGGAUGUUUUCAUUAA